ensembl:snRNA U2 U2 spliceosomal RNA
UACUCUUCUUGGCCAUUUGGCCAAGAUCAAGUAUAGUAUGUGUUCUUACCAGUUUAAUAUCUGAUAUGUCUUCUAUCUGAGGACAAUUUUUUUUUAAUACUUUAAGUUCUAGGGUACAAUGUGCAGGUUUGUUACAUAUGUAUACAUAUGCCAUGCUGCACCCAUU